UGCGUAGGCGGACUAAUAAGUCAGUGGUGAAAUCUUUCGGCUCAACCGAGAAACUGCCAUUGAUACUGUUAGUCUUGAGUUCGGUUGAGGUAGGCGGAAUGUGUAAUGUAGCGGUGAAAUGCUUAGAUAUUACACAGAACACCAAUUGCGUAGGCAGCUUACUAGACCGACACUGACGCUGAGGCACGAAAGCGUGGGGAGCGAACAGGAUUAGAUACCUGGUAGUCC
rnacentral:rRNA from 1 species